rnacentral:tRNA from 1 species
GGGGCCGUAGCUCAAUUGGGAGAGCGUCUGUAUGGCAUACAGAAGGCAGAGGGUUCGAAUCCCUUCGGCUCCA